rnacentral:rRNA from 1 species
GACGAACGCUGGCGGCAUGCCUAACACAUGCAAGUCGAACGGAAACGCCCUGCUUGUGUGGGGUGCUCGAGUGGCGAACGGGUGAGUUACACGUGAGUAACCUGCCCCUGACUUUGGGAUGACCUCAGGCAACUGGGGCUAAUACCAGCUAGGAGCUCCUGCUGCUGGGUGGGGGUUGGAAAGUUUCGGCGGUUGGGGGUGGACUAGCGGCUUAUCAGCUUGUUGGGUGGGUAGUGGCUUAGCAAGGCUUUGCCGGGUAGCCGGCCUGGGAGGGGGGCCGGCCACAUUGCGCCUGAGAUACGGCCCAGACUCGAACGGUAGGCAACGGAGGGGAGGAUAGCACAAUGGGCGGAGGCCUGGUGCGACAACGCCGCGUGGGGGAAGACGUCCUUGGGGUUGUGAACCGCAGUCGCCUGUGACGAAGCGUUAGUGACGGUAACGGGAGAAGAAGCACCGGCUAACUACGUG